UGAGGAAUAUUGGUCAAUGGGCGCGAGCCUGAACCAGCCAAGUCGCGUGAGGGAUGACGGCCCUACGGGUUGUAAACCUCUUUGUCGGGGAGCAAAAUUCCGCCACGUGUGGCGGAGUCGAGAGUACCCGAAGAAAAAGCAUCGGCUAACUCCGUGCC
rnacentral:rRNA from 1 species